rnacentral:SRP_RNA from 1 species
GCCGGGCGUGGUGGCGGGCGCCUGUAGUCCCAGCUACUCGGGAGGCUGAGACAGGAGAAUCGCUUGAACCCAGGAGGCGGAGGUUGCAGUGAGCCGAGAUCAUGCCACUGCACUCCAGCCUGGGUGACAGGGUGAGACUCUGUCUCAA